UACGAAGGGAGCUAGCGUUGUUCGGAAUCACUGGGCGUAAAGCGCACGUAGGCGGAUGUGUCAGUCAGGGGUGAAAUCCCGGAGCUCAACUUCGGAACUGCCUUUGAUACAGCACAUCUGGAGUCCGGAAGAGGUGGGUGGAAUUCCUAGUGUAGAGGUGAAAUUCGUAGAUAUUCGGAAGAACACCAGUGGCGAAGGCGGCUCACUGGUCCGGUACUGACGCUGAGGUGCGAAAGCGUGGGGAGCAACAGG
rnacentral:rRNA from 1 species